UCAUCCCCACCCAGUCUCUCUCCAGGGCCCACCCAGUCUCUCUCCAGGGCCCACCUAGUCAUCCUCCCUCUCUCCAGGGCCCACCCAGUCAUCCCCACCCAGUCUCUCUCCAGGGCCCACCCAGUCUCUCUCCAGGGCCCACCUAGUCAUCCCCACCCAGUCUCUCUCCAGGGCCCACCCAGUCUCUCUCCAGGGCUCACCCAGUCAUCCCCACCCAGUCUCUCUCCAGGGCCCACCCAGUCUCUCUCCAGGGCCCACCUAGUCAUCCCCACCCAGUCUCUCUCCAGGGCCCACCCAGUCAUCCUCCCUCUCUCUCCAGGGCCCACCCAGUCAUCCCCACCCAGUCUCUCUCUCCAGGGCCCACCCAGGCACCCUCCCUCUCUCUCCAGGGCCCACCCAGUCACCCUCCCUCUCUCUCCAGGGCCCACCCAGUCACCCUCCCUCUCUCUCCAGGGCCCACCCAGUCACCCUCCCUCUCUCUCCAGGGCCCACCCAGUCAUCCUCCCUCUUUCUCCAGGGCCCACCCAGUCACCCUCCCUCUCUCUCCAGGGCCCACCCAGUCUCUCUCCAGGGUUGGACAGUCCGCUCCACCAUCGUAGUCCUGUGAGCUCGGGGCCGACGUUGGCGGUAGUUCAUUGGUCUUGGGAGCAUCAUCUCGGCUGGUGGUGGAGUCUGUAGACCUCUACACAGCACGUACUUUGAAAAGAAACCAAAGAAACUGUCAUUUUUUUUGGGGGGGGGGGGUUUGAAUUAAAGGUGGGGCUUGGGGAUGGAUAAACCAAUCAGGUAAGGAAGGAGGA
rnacentral:lncRNA from 1 species